UAGGGAAUAUUGGUCAAUGGGUGAGAGCCUGAACCAGCCAUGCCGCGUGCAGGAAGACGGCCUUCUGGGUUGUAAACUGCUUUUAUCUGGGGAUAAAAAGACCUUGCGAGGUUAAUUGAAGGUACCAGAUGAAUAAGCACCGGCUAACUACGUGCCAGCAGCCGCGGUAAUACGUAGGGUGCAAGCGUUGUCCGGAUUUAUUGGGUUUAAAGGGUGCGUAGGCGGCCCGUUAAGUCAGUGGUGAAAUACAGCAGCUCAACUGUUGAUGUGCCAAUGAUACUGGCGGGCUAGAGUACAGACGAGGUAGGCGGAAUUGACAGUGUAGCGGUGAAAUGCAUAGAUAUUGUCAAGAACACCGAUAGCGAAGGCAGCUUGCUAGCCUGUAACUGACGCUGAGGCACGAAAGUGUGGGGAUCAAACA
rnacentral:rRNA from 1 species